AUGGCUUGUUGCUCUUCAGAGAUACUCUCUUUGAACUUAACUUUUCUCUCACUGCUUCAUCUUGAUUAAAUAAUUUUUUAAGAAGAUAGCAUGUCGGGUCAUAAUCAUAUUGUGAUCCUAUCAGAAAGUAGUAUUCCAAACUCUUUUAGGAUGAGUUUUAUAGAUCUAUCCUCUAACAUAUCCACCUGCUGUCCUUGACACAGGCUAGACAUCCUUGGAUCUUGAAAUAAUUAAGAUUCAGUUCUCACCAUGCCAUAUCUCAUAUGGUAUGGUAGGAACAGGUUUAAACAAAACCCAAUUUCAUAGAAACAAAGCAUGUCCCUAAAGAAACAAAAUAAAUCAGUGAAUUCCAUAAUGGACCGGACCAUAUCCCAUAUAGUCCCAUAACUCUUCUUAUCUUGUUGAGUUGAGAUGUACUAAGAGAGGUCCAAUAUGAAAAUAUAUCAUUUUAUGAGAUAAUCAAAAAAAAAAUUUCUUUGAUAUUGCAUCUUCGAUCCG
rnacentral:lncRNA from 1 species